GGCACCAUGGCCUAAUGGUAAGGCGUUGCUUUCCGGUGGCAAAGAUUGAGGGUUCGAGUCCCUCUGGUGUCG
rnacentral:tRNA from 20 species